rnacentral:lncRNA from 1 species
CUCUGCAGUCAAACUGGGAUGUCCGGUGUAGGCCUUUUCAUCCUUGCUAGGGGAAAAGCCAGAAGGCAAAUCAGCUGACUUGUUACCUGAGGUGACUGACUGAAACACAAAGCAUCCUUGGGAUGUUGCUAUAGCGACUGGUUUUGGCUAGAGGAGAUGUUAUUUUUGAGAUCACAUAGUGAUUUGGCUGGGUUAGGUGGCCCCACAGGAAACGGUAGAAACCUGCCUGAUCACCAGUCAAAGACUUGGGAGGAUGGUGCAGGGCAUGAUCAGCCAACUGCAUUAAUAUGUCUAUCCAUUGUUUAAUGUGAUCUAGGUCAAGGAGGGCUUCAUCUUAGAGGUCCAGACAAGUGCGGUGAUUGACUUCUGUUGGGGAAUUAAUUUUUCAAGAGCUGUACCUUUAUGAACAUAGCUGUGAGUUAUAUUUUUGGUUUAGCUGGACAAUAAAUAUAGUGCCAGGAAAGGGGAGCUAACUGAUCUUGCGUUCUUUGCCUUAGUUGGAUUUCUGGUUAUGAUGUUGGGGGUGGGGCAUGAAGCUUGGACUAUACAUUAUGACCCUUCAAUAGCGGUAAAGAAAAACAUCUUGCCCACCCAUAAGAUAACCAGGCAAGUGUGGAUGCCAUAAACCAUUUGAGCUUCUCGUUUCUGAUCCAGCUUUCAGUACUCAACUGCAUUUUACCCAGUGUCACCGGGUGGCCAGCAGCCUCAUUUCAAAAUGGGCAUAAAAGAGGGGCUCACCAUGGUCAAAACUGACUUCUCGGCAGUGGAAUUUACUGUCACCCUGUGGACAUGUUGACUCUCUAGAAUGCCGAAGCUGCAGGAAUAGGCAUUCUAGAAGAUUCAGACAGGACUAUGCUUGAGAAUGAGAAGAGAGUGGCCUGGUGAAUAACCAGGAGUUACCCUCCUACAGCCUGUAAACACACCCUGGGAGGCUCCGCACUCGUAGCACAGGGCACUGCCCCAUGGCCUGUUUUCAUUUUGUACACAUCACAUGGUAAAGUCGUCGUAUAUAUUUGAUUUGUGUUCCUCUUACCCUUUCAUCUAUGGCCCUGCUGGGCCUAGGUGCCCAAAUGCCGAACCAGGGGGAGUUAUUUCCUCAGAGAGUGAUUGUUCAAAUUCUUGUUGAAACGUGUUGUUUAUUACUUGCCUCCAUAGGCUCAAAGGGUGCUGUGGCCUUGGAGGAAGCAUGUCUCUCUCUUUUCCUCCUGCCUGCCGAUCUGGAUGUAGAAUUCUCAGUUCCUUCUCCAGCACCAUGUCUGCCUGUGAUGAUAAUGAACUAAACCUGAACUGUAAGCAAGCCUUGAUGAAAUGUUUUCCUUUAUGGGAGUUUCUGUGGUCAGGGUGUCUCUUCACAGCAAUAGAAACCCUAAUGAAGACAGGCUCUCAGAAGAGGAAUAGCCUGUAUUUAUCAUUCAACCAAAUCCACACAAAGCCUGCAUCUCUUCUAUAACAGUGAUUAAAAAUGAUCUGCCAUGGAUACAAUGUUAAAAUCUAUGAAUACAAUGUCUAAAGUCUAUGAAUAUUGUUCAAAGUCCCCAGAGUACUAAGAUGUUUUAUCCUUAUGAUGACUAAGUCCUCACAACUAUAAAAGUAGGCAUGACUUGUAUCUCUAUUUUACAGAUGGGGAAACCAAGGCACAAAAGAGCAUACCGUGUAAGAGGCAGCUUUCAUUGCAGGUAGUUUAUCUCCAAACUGUGCUCUUUGAAGGAUCAGACUGACCUGCCCUCAGUGCAGGUGUUUCUCCAAAGGGCUGCAUAUCAGUGUGCUAUUCUCCUGGCUAACUCUCGUUAACUAUAUUUGCAUAUUUGAUGAUACAAUUGUCUUUAUCACAGGAGUAGAAUUUCACAGGUUUCCUUAUGACAUUUCCUUUAAGAUAGAAACGAUUUGUAUACAAUCUGCUGAGGUCACUUUGGACACUAUCCCUUAUAUCCCUUACUUCUGGUUUCUUGGUAUCCAAAAAUGUAGCAAACCAUUAAGAAAUCGAUGCUCAGAAAAUUAAGCUGCCCAGGCUCUCAGGAAGAGGUCUCACCUGACUCUCUCAGACUUAAGCUUGCAUGCGGAUCGCAGAUUUACUUACAUACACUUGUCAACAGCUCUACUUCCCUGACAUCUGCUCCAGGCUCACCUCCCGCCCCAGCACUGUUCCUCAUCACCAGUUUGACAGGGGCGUGGCUUUCUCGUGUCUGCAGCCAGCUCACUCAUUUUCACUUGGUUGAGAGAGCAUGUUACACUGAGACACCGCCUGAUCAUAGUGUAGUUCAGGGCGUGAUACUGACUUUUCAGUAUCCCAACUACGUUAUCUGUGAUGAUAAGACAACAAAUCAGAAAAGGGGGCUCUGUGAGCUGGGAACUAGGACUCAGCUCAGCCAAUAGUCUUUGCUGUGUAAACAUC